AGCAAAUAGAGGAAUAUCUAUUUUUUAGAAUUUUCCAUUUAUUUGUUUGAAUUGAAUUAACCGAAAGUGAUUAACAAUAAUGUUUUAUAGGAUUGGUGGGGGAAACACCUUACCAUAUCCACUCAACAAUUCAAAUUUGAAAUUCAAAUUAGCUCCACAUUAUUAUUAUUCCGUUAUGUCAUUUCAUUAUUCUAUAUGUUAUGUCAUUUUCUUAUAUCCCCAUUGUAAAACUUUUUGUUUUCUCAUAUUUUAUUCAUGGUAAGGAGUAAUGACGGAAGUCAUUUUUGGUGAGCUAGACUGACUCUUGUAGAUGUGACGGUGCACGAACUAUGUUUAUGAAAACUUAUACGUUGAUAAGAUCAGUAGAUGUACGUAUUUUAGAUACAUAGAUCGUAGGUAGAUACAAACAUUUACCGUAUGGGUAUAUUUAUUGGAAAAGGCAGGUCCUCACUCGCAGAGAGAAGAUAACUUACCAUGAGUUUUGAUAUCUUGCUCCCCAUUUGAGUUUUGAUGAAUACAGGAAACUGGACGCAGGAUCAGAUGUAUCACUGAAACCAAUGGUUCUGAUAAUAACCUUAAAACAUUACUUCAUAACAUCUAAAAUGAACCAUUUACAUUAUUCCAUGGAAUUCUUAAACCUGGUAUACUAUACUAACAGAUUUAAGCUGUAAAUAAAUAAAAAACUGAUUAUACAAUUGAAUCAAGUUGAAAUAUAUUAUACCACAUAUUUGAUGUUAAGAAAAAAAACAUUUAAAUAACUUGUAAUGUGAUGUAGUCGUGAGUAAAUUGUAAAUAAAAUAUAUAUUUGUUUAUCCAUUCGCAAAUGAGGCUCCAUAUUAGAUUUUGAGGAAGGCGAGCCGAGUCAUUCAAUAGAAUACUUUAUACUAUGUAUAUUAAUAUUUACAAGACGAGUUAUAAGAAAAGGAUAUAUAUUAAACCAAGAAGACGCAAGAUCCAAAAUCUGCAACUUUGAUGUGUAUGUUAGUGAAGAAGUAUCAGCAUUUGUUCGAUCUCCGCCUAGAUACAAGUAAUAUUCUCACAUUACGUAUUUUUGUAGAUUAUUUUGUAUUUCUUUUCUAGUUCUGACUUGUAUAAUUGUGCAUUUCUAUGUAUAUCUAUAUUUUAUAUUUUAUAUAAUAAUAUAUACUAUUCAACUACAUAAUGUUUGAGAAAAACACUUUUGAGACAUUAGUAUGUCAAGAAGGACCUAUUCAAAACAGACAGAAAUAAAUACAAAAUUAGUUUAUUUAUUUUAAAAUUUGUAUAAUACAGUAUAUACAAACCUAAUAUAAUCUUAGACUUUAGACUAUGUGAUCUGCAAUUUCCAAAACUCGCCAGAAUUACUAACCAUGGCGAUGAAUUAAGUAUGCAAUAUAAGGUCGUUAUGCCAAUUAAUUAUCACAUUAGAUACCAAUUGUGAGAAAGGAAUGGUUCUAAAAUUCUAAUUAAGCAUAGUCACUUCUCAAUACAUACAAAGAAAAAAUUAGAGAUCGUAAACAAAUAUAAUUUGAUCGCAUUAUUAAUGAAUUAACGGAUCUAGGAUACCUAACACGUUACACACAUUAUUUUCUUAAUAAUACUUGGUAUCCCAUUCGAGGUAGAAUAGUCUUUUUAUAUUAUAGCAAGAACCAAAAACUCGGUCCCUCUAUUUCCACAAGAAGGUCACGAAACUCUCUAUGGACUAAAAAGACACACUAUCAAAAAUAUCAAUCGUAUGAUGAUGAUAUAAAAUUGAUGGUGGAAUGAUGGCGCACGUGACAAUAACUACAGUGGGGGAGCGUCGGUCACGUGAGAAAGCUGGAUUGCCUCAGAAACGAAGAAGACGCUCCACCUCUGCCUAACUAGUAACAAUCCAAAAUCAUAUAAAUAAACCAUACGAUAUGUAACAUUUUCCUUUUAAAAUAAAUAUGUUACAUGAUAUCAGCAUGUAUGUAGAUAAGUUUCUGUAACGAGUAAAAAAUAAAUAAUUACAGUGCCCAUCUAGUCUGUGCCAUGUUUUGAAUUCCUUUGGGGCUUAGUGCCCAUCUAAGUGGAACCUUUGACUGUCAAGUUUUUUUACGAUUCCAAGACGGUCAAACUUUGACCAAAUACUUCUAUUUACGUGUGUCUGAUUUAUAACUUUGGUACAGCUUGGAUAAGUAACAUUUUUCAUUUUAAGAUUUAUAUUUGUGGAGUGUAGCAACUAACAAGUGUUAGGUGGGAAGCAUCAUCGUUUUAGCGAGAGAAAAUAAGUAUACGAAUAUGUUUUUUUACAUAAAAAAUAUAUUAUUUUAUAUUUGUACACACAAAUUAAAAAAUAUAUUUAAUUUUAUAUAUUUUCUAUAUAAAAGUAUGAUUAACUAUACAACUAACUAUAUUUUAACCAAUAGAAAAUAAACUAAAAAAUAAAAUUAAUAAAUUUAAACUAUUAAAAGAAAAGUACAAUUUGUACUUAACCCAGACUUUUCCACAAUAAUUACUAAUUUAUGCCAUUCAUCAAAACACAGUAGUUUUAUACUUUUGCUAUCACAAUAAUUACUUUUCCUAAAUAUUUACGAUCCUUUACCACUGAAUCCAAAACACAGUCAUUUUCUUGAAAACUUUCAGAUUCUGGGUACCUCCAUCCGAUAAUUACUCAGUUCUAAGCCGCCUUCUUUUGCCACUUCUGACGAGGUCUCAGAAACCUAUAAUUGAAUCGAGAGUUUAUGUAUAACAUCGAUUUAGAUAUUUACAAAAAAAAUUGUAACAGUUUAAAAGGUAUGAUUAUAGGAUGGUUGCUUUUGUUGGUUUGAUUUGCCAUGUAAAGAUGUUCAAUCACCAUCGACGUUGGGACAUGGUCAGUUUCAUCUCUUUGUUUCAAUACAGGAAAUUUCUGACUGGUUUAUAUAAAGAAUUAGAGGAAGAAAGAAGCGCUUCGGUGGAUGCAUAUAUAGAUGCUGGUAAGGGAGGUGAACUGGCACAUGAGGAAACAAUGAUUAUAAUUGGAGCCCUGGUUUAAGCGAGAAGUUCUGAUUUACUGAUGCAGGAGACUGCGAAUGGAGGACGACUGAUUUACUGAUGCUUACUUUCAUUUUGUCGUCAUCCAGUUUGGAACACACUUAACUUACACUGCUUCGAGAUUACUUCAACUGGUUUCAUUCAUACGCUUCCAUUUCUUGGAAGUUCAGAGUGGUGAGGAAGUUAUGUGCCAAUUGAAUCAAUGUUUUUCAUUCUGACAGAGAAAUAAACUCAAAAACCAAAAAUUAGUCAACUUACUUUGUUCAAAAAAAAGUUCUUUUACAUAAGUUUUUGUAGUUUCCCUUUUUGUUGGUUAGUGGUGGGCGUGGUCCAGUUCUACUCUAAACUCUAAAGUCCAUUCGAGUUAUUACGUUUUGUUAGCCUGUUUAUUUUUAAUACAUAUUAUAACUUUUGUAACUUUUGUUGACAUAUAUAAAGAAAAAUAUAAAUAUAUAUAAUCUAAUUUAAUUAAAUGAUCUUUAAAUUUAUGAUUUAAUAAUCUAAAUUUAAAUCUUGCAUAUUAAUUAAUAUAUAGAUCACUACAUAAUUGACUAACAUUUUGAUGAUAUAUAGAGAAGCUAAUAUCAAAUUUUGAAAAUAAAUCUGUGUACAAGAGUAUUUGAUCACAAAUUUUAAAAGCUAAUUAAAACUUGUAGAAAUAAUAAAUAAUAGUUUGAUAAUAACUAACAAUAUAAAAAUUAUAAGUAAAUAUUCAAUUUGUAUAUGAUAUAUAAAUUAAAUCUUCAAUAAUCUUUAAACAUGUUAUAUUAUGAGUAUCUUUUUAAACUAACUAAUCCUAUGUAUUUUUAAUAAAAUAAAUAUAUAAUAGGAACUAUAUAAUGUAAUAUGUGCUUCAAAGGAAUAAAUUAAAAUUUUACAUGCAAGUUUUAAAACUAUGAGUUUGGAGAUAUUCAUUUCAAAUUAUUAAAUUUUGAAUUAUAUAGACGACCAAUUACAUAGAAUAAUAUACAUUAAUUUAAAAAAACACUCGCACGAAUAUGUGGGUCAAACUCUAAUUUUUGCUUAAAAGACAGAUUAGCUGCGGUAGUAUACUUAAUUAGAUUAAAUAAAAACUAUAUAUUAUAGUCAUUUUAACUUAAAAAGGUCAAAUCUUUUGAAGCUAAAUCAUAAAUCCAAAUACAUGCAUGAUGUAUUCACACAAAAACUCUCUGCCACCUUCAAAUAGUUGUGUUAUGAAAUAUUUAUAUAAUUAUUGAAAACAAACACCCGUGCGGACGCACGGGUCGGAAUCUAGUUACGUAUUAAAAUGCUAAAAUGAUAUUUGUUUUGCAACAAAUUUUUUUAUCUAUAACGACACUUGAUAUGAAACGGAGGAAGUAUGAUUCUAAAUAUGAUCAUUUUUAUAUAAGUUGUACAUCGUCUAUUACAAAUAUGAUAGUGAUACUCUGCCGUGCACAUAAGAGUAAAACAAAUUAUCAGCCAGCUGCCUGGAAAGAAGUAUCAGCCAGCUAACUGCCUAACAAAUACUCGCAAUUACAUUAACCAUAAAUGUCAUCUGUAAAAAAUGUCAUGUUUGAUCCACUAUACGUAUAAGAUGAAUAUUGAAAAUAAAAAAUGAAUAAUUACAUCACAGCUUAUCCAAAUUAAAUAAAUGAAAUCUUGAAACUCGUGUGAACUCAAGUUCACGCUUUAGAGUCACCAGUCUACCUCGAAUUAUAUAAUGUUAUACUGCUCAUUUAUUUGUUACACAUUCAUCUAACUCAUAUAGUAUAUAUUAAAAGCAUAAUCGCUAAAAAUGUAAACAAUUAAGAACUUUAUAACUUACACAUCUAUUGGCCUUCCUUUCAUAAUUGAUAAAUAUCUCCGAAUAGUUGUUUGUAGCUUGGUUUAUGAAUAC